rnacentral:rRNA from 1 species
GAUGAACGCUGGCGGCGUGCCUAAUACAUGCAAGUCGAGCGAAUGGAUUGAGAGCUUGCUCUUAUGAAGUUAGCGGCGGACGGGUGAGUAACACGUGGGUAACCUGCCCAUAAGACUGGGAUAACUCCGGGAAACCGGGGCUAAUACCGGAUAACAUUUUGAACCGCAUGGUUCGAAAUUGAAAGGCGGCUUCGGCUGUCACUUAUGGAUGGACCCGCGUCGCAUUAGCUAGUUGGUGGGGUAACGGCUCACCAAGGCAACGAUGCGUAGCCGACCUGAGAGGGUGAUCGGCCACACUGGGACUAGGACACGGCCCAGACUCCUACGGGAGGCAGCAGGAGGGAAUCUUCCGCAAUGGGCGAAAGUCUGACGGAGCAACGCCGCGUGAGUGAUGAAGGCUUUCGGGUCGUAAAACUCUGUUGUUAGGGAAGAACAAGUGCUAGUUGAAUAAGCUGGCACCUUGACGGUACCUAACCAGCAAGCCACGGCUAACUACGUGCCAGCCGCCGCCGUAA